CCGGGGAGGACGCAAGGAAUCAAACGGCCGCCGGUGAAGAACCUUGACCGUGAGCUGAGAGGAUGAAGAUGAAGAUGGUGAAGAUGAAGAUGAUGAAUAUGAGGGAGAAGACGGGGAAAUGAAGAUGAUGAAGUGUGAAAGCAGCAGCACCGUGUUGACUCAGACUGUGGAGAAUCCUCAGGCCUUCAGGUUAAAGCCCAAAACCCGCUGGCCUUUAGAACGGAACAAACCAAAAAGGACCCUGAACGCCUCACCAGCUCAGCAGCAUCAGACGGCGUUCAGGUGUAACCUCUGAGGAGUCUAACUGGUUUCACACCAGUUCAAGGUUGAGGUCGAUGUUCUUCCUUGACUGGGACUCUUCAUCCAAUCCAAACUCACAAACACAACAAACCACACAACUGUCUGCAGAGCGGAUGAGUGACGGGAGGGGCUGGCUGCUUCCAGGGGGGUCAGCUGGUCCAGAAGGAAAGAAAGGCCUGCUCCCAGUCCCCGAGCACCCCAAGGGUCAACAGGACCCCACACCCUCGACACGAACCCCGCCCAGACCCAAUCGGACCUCCGCAUGCUGCUCGGUAAUCACCUGGGCUGGACCUCAGUGUAACAGAUCCCAGGUUCUCUGCAGGAGGGAGGUCAGCUUCUACAUGAUGCAGUAAGAGACCAGAUAGAGACCAGAUAUGGGCCCCAUAGAGAGCAGAUAGAGGCCCAAUAUAGGCCAGAUAAAGACCAGAUAGAGAAAAGAUAGAGACCAGCUAGAGGCCUGAUAGAGACCAUAUAGAGACCAGAUAGAGGGAUGGCCAAGACCUGAUAGAGACCAGAUAGAGGCCGAAUAGAGACCUUAUAGACACCAGAUAAAGGCCUGAUAGAGAAAAGAUAGAGACCCAAUAGAGACCAGAUAGAGGCCUGAGAGAGACCUGUUAGAGACCAGAUAGAGGCCAGAUAAAGGCCUGAUAGAGACCAGAUAAAGACCCAACAUACAUAUACCCCCAAAAGCGGUAUUAAGAUUAGAGGGAAUUGCAGUUUGAGUUCAGUUUCCACAACUCGUGAUGUAUAUGUAUUUAUAUAUGUAUGUAUAAACCUGUAUUUAUAUAAGUAGAUAUACAUGCAUAUUUAUAUACACACACAUUCAGUGUACCAAGCUGCUCUCAGAGGUGAAGAGGUUGUGAGGCCUGAAAGAGUUCAUUUAAAACUAAAUUUACGAUCUGAACUUCGUCUCCGUCUCGUUUUACCGCCGAGCGUCCCGUCAGCGGGAUCCACCCAACCCGCCCGAGCAGGUGUCUCCAUCUUGUUUUUCUUUCAAAUGGCAGAGAUCUCAUCUUCAUUCGGGGGGGGGGGCGGGGGUGGGGCCUCAC
ensembl:lncRNA